AGGUGUCAGAGACCCAGAUGAUGGUGAUAUCAGAUCAGGGUGUGAAGCCCCUGUAUGUACAGUACCUGAUCCCUGGACAACAUCGACAGCAGGGGGAGAGGGAGGCAGAGAGGAGAAACACCCACACUCCCAACACCCUCAUUCCCCACAACAGUUUGCCAGCUGCUGUGUCAGAAGCACUGACUCCUGAACUUGAGGAGGACAUGAUGCAGAGUGAGGUGAUGCAAGGGGAGGCCCCGGAGCAUGAGACCCAGGGGAACAACAUUGACAUAUCCUAUGAACUACCAGUAGAGGGAGCUAAACUCAACAACCUGAUGGCAGUGAAAAGCCUGCCCUUUCCGCCCCAGUCCUCCUCCUCUCCCGCUCCUCCAUCUCCUCCUCAACUCACUGACGGAUCCCACUUCAUGUGUGUGUAGACGUGUCGAGGAGGUGGUUCUGUGAACUGAACUACACUCACCCAGACAUUGACCUUGGUGAGCAGUGACUCAUAAGCGAUGCCAGCCUGGAGACCCAAGAUGGCAUCCUACAGAGCCAUGAUGGCACCAGCCAGUCUGCACAGAGCAUGCCCAGUAUCUCUCUGUAUGUAUAGAAACGACUGUAGCCAGACAGAUAGAAAGAGUAGAUCCACAGGCCUGCUCGUAUUACUUACUGCCGGCCUACACAAUAACUGUGAUGCAAAACUUUUUCAUUCACACAGAGAUAUCAGAGGACAAGAUAGUAUUACCAGAGUGAUAAUUGAUGAUGAUGAUUAUUAUUACAUUUCCAAUGCUUAUUACAGGUAUUAUGAUGGUCUGUUAUUUUGGACAUGUUCUGUGAGGAUGUCUUGAGUGUCUAUGAGCAGAGCACUGCUGUGAAAAGGAGAGGACUGUACAGUUGUAAAUAAGAGCACUAG
rnacentral:lncRNA from 1 species